AUAAACAAACCCUUGCCUCGCUGCCCUGGGCUGGAGGAGCUCAUCUCUCUGGGCUGUCGGCGUCCCUCUCAGAGGGAAAAUCAAUGGCUCCUCUGCCCACCACUGAGCCCUGGGCGUUGACUUGGAAACCCUGGCUUCGCCCUGGACGAAUGCUCUCCUGAGCCCAUAGGCUGAGUGCACAAGGGCCAGCUUCCCCAGCUGGCUGAGCAUGUGGGGAUCCAUUCCCUUCUUGGAGCACAGCCACGGCCUCAGCAAGGCGUUGGCAGGCGGGCCUGAGCUGUCUAAGGAUGCUGUUGCGCAUGAGCCAGCGAGCAGCUUUGCCAAGGUUUUCGUCUGAGGUCCUGCCCUGACUUUCUCAACGAUGCACUAUCACUUGCAAGCUGAAGUAAAUCCUUCCCUCCUUGGGUUGCUUUGGUCACGCUGGAUAUCACAACAGCGCUGGACAGCAAACUAGGAGUCCACCAACAUGAAUGUGUCACUGACUCAAAUGCUUCAGGGCCAAGAAGAUGCAAGAGGCGGCAGUGUGGAGAGGGUCAGGGUGACAGUCUCGGGAGCAGACUAGGAGGCGCAGUGAGACCAGGUCCUGAGCUCGCCAUUAGUCAGAGAGCUUGCGGCUGCUGUCCUGCCUCCCAAGUCUUUGUUUGGGAGCCCAGCUGCUGCUAAUUAAUAGUCAUAACUGGGAAUAAAAUAAUAUUAGUUUACACA